AGUAGGAAAUGACGAUAACUAAAUAUCAAGAUUUUUAAUGAUUGUACCAUGUUUAUCAUGGGACGUAAUUCUGAUCCUAAU
rnacentral:snoRNA from 1 species